AUAUUCUACCACCAAGCGGAGCGGGAUCGCUUCUCAGAGAGAAGGAAAUUCCAAGGACCACGUACUGUAAACGGGUGACACACUGGGAAAUUUUGGGAGUUUACUUCAGAAUGCCAGUUUUCCGUAUUUGGUGUGCUGAUCGCAUCAUAAGGAAAUCGGUUGUGUCAGUAGCAGAAAUUGAAGAACUAAAGAAAAAAAGCAACACAAAAACUCGGUUUGGAGUUGGUAGGACCUACGAAGUUAGUUCUAGAGAAAUGUGGUACAGAAGUGGACGACGAUGAGGUGUUGGAAGAAAUUGCUGAUGAAGUCUUACUAUUGUUGGCUGAUGGAGAAACUUAUACACCAUCUGUAGCUCAGCAAAUACCUGACUCUACUCGAAGUUUGGUAACAUGUACUACAGGCGAUGUACUUCAACCCAGCAGGAGUGCAAGUGACAACGAAAAGGCAAGCACAAGUUCAAGUGAGACAGAGGCAUAUGCCAGUCACAAAUCAUGUAACACAUUAUCAUUGCCUCUGCCAGAACUCUCACGGGCAACCCGAGAUGACUUACAACAGGGAGAUAAAUCAAGACGGGUCUGGUUGCAGCUGAUAGAAGAAUCCAAGAACUACUACAUGAAGUAUUGCCCUCUGCUUGAUGAAAACCCUUAAGCUACGGUUACACUAGCCACUGCUACCCCUGGGCCCAGCCUUGGGC